AUUGAACGCUGGCGGCAGGCCUAACACAUGCAAGUCGAGCGGUAACACAGGGAGCUUGCUCCUGGGUGACGAGCGGCGGACGGGUGAGUAAUGUCUGGGAAACUGCCUGAUGGAGGGGGAUAACUACUGGAAACGGUAGCUAAUACCGCAUAACGUCGCAAGACCAAAGAGGGGGACCUUCGGGGCUCUUGCCAUCAGAUGUGCCCAGAUGAGAUUAGCUAGUAGGUGGGGUAACGGCUCACCUAGGCGACGAUCCCUAGCUGGUCUGAGAGGAUGACCAGCCACGCGGUAACUGAUACACGGUCCAGACUCCUACGGGAGGCAGCAGUGGGGAAUAUUGCACAAUGGGCGCAAGCCUGAUGCAGCCAUGCCGCGUGUAUGAAGAAGGCCUUCGGGUUGUAAAGUACUUUCAGCGAGGAGGAAGGCAUUGUGGUUAAUAACCACAGUGAUUGACGUUACUCGCAGAAGAAGCACCGGCUAACUCCGUGCCAGCCGCCGCCGUAA
rnacentral:rRNA from 1 species